UAACCGCACAAUAAAAUAGUUCGUAUAACCUCACGGCAAUUGCUUGAACAGGGUGAGGGUUUCUACGGGGAGCCUUAACUUCCUAACUACGAAUAUGUGAUCAUUUGCG
rnacentral:ncRNA from 2 species